rnacentral:rRNA from 1 species
GAUGAACGCUAGCGGCAGGCCUAACACAUGCAAGUCGAGGGGUAUAGGAAGCUUGCUUCCUAGAGACCGGCGCACGGGUGCGUAACGCGUAUGCAAUCUACCUUGUACAGAGGAAUAGCCCAGAGAAAUUUGGAUUAAUGCCUCAUAGUAUAUUGAUUCGGCAUCGGAUUAAUAUUAAAGUUUCGGCGGUACAAGAUGAGCAUGCGUCCCAUUAGUUAGUUGGUAAGGUAACGGCUUACCAAGACAAUGAUGGGUAGGGGUCCUGAGAGGGAGAUCCCCCACACUGGUACUGAGACACGGACCAGACUCCUACGGGAGGCAG